GGACAUGAGGGCGAUCUGGCUGCGACAUCUGUCACUCCAUUGAUCGCCAAGGUUGAUUUGUCUGAUCUGGCUGGCUAGGUGGGUGUCCCCUUCCUCCCUCAAUGCUCCACGUGCAUCCCUCCUGAAGCUGCGUGCUGGAAGAGGACGAUCUUCCCCGAUAGAGGAGGACCGGUCUUCAGUCAAGGGUAUACAAGUAGCUGCACUCCCUUGCUAGAAUCUCCAAACAAGCUCUGAAGAAGAAGAAAGAGGAGGUAGUGGACUAGAAGAAGGC
rnacentral:snRNA from 1 species